CAAAUUGUACCUAACAAUUGGUUUACUUGUAAAAAAAAAUCCGCAAUAUAUUGGCCAAAUGUAACAAAUCAGAAAGAAUAUGAUAAAGCAGUUGAAAAAAUGAAAGAUUUUAAUAAUAAUAAUUCAACAAUAAUAUCUGUUAAAAGAAUAUUUACAAGUACAGAUACUUUUAUUAAAGCAAAAGAGAAAUUAAAAUUAGCCAAAAAAUUAUCAGAUUUAAAUUCAGAUGAAGAUACAGAAGUUUUAAAAAAUAGAAGAAGAUUCUAUGCAGCAAAAGUUUUUUCAUCAUCAAGUAGCGAAAAAAGAAAUUCAAAAUCCUAUGAAAAAAAGGAAAAUAGAUACUUAUCCACAAGUACCACAAAUUUCGAAGAAUUCUAAAUUACGUCAUGAAAAUAAAAAUAAAGAAAACUUUUCAUCAGCACAGGAAAAUGAAAUGCAGCACAUGAGUUCUCAAUAUUCUAAUUUUUCUUCAGAUAAUUAUCCAAAAGCAUCCCAAAUGUUAAAAAUUCUACAAUACGUCAUCAAGUACUCGAAAAUAAAAAACUUUUUAUCAGAAGAAGAAGAUAAAAUGCUCAUGAGUUCACAAAAUUCUAAUUUUUCUUUAGGUAUUUAUCACAUAAAUUAAUAAAGAUAUCUAUUAUAUUCUGACUUUAAUAUUUUGAUUUAGAUAAAUAACACGAUACUUUAUAUUCACGAUUCU